rnacentral:rRNA from 1 species
CCGGCGACCGGCGCACGGGUGAGUAACACGUAUGGAACCUGCCCGCAGCAGGGGGAUAAGCGGAAGAAAUUCCGUCUAAUACCGCGUAACAACGUUGGGAGGCAUCUCCCGAUGUUUAAAGAUUUAUCGGCUGCGGAUGGCCAUGCGGCGCAUUAGCUAGUCGGCGGGGUAACGGCCCACCGAGGCGACGAUGCGUAGGGGUUCUGAGAGGAAGGCCCCCCACACUGGUACUGAGACACGGACCAGACUCCUACGGAAGGCAGCAG